rnacentral:rRNA from 1 species
CUGGCGGCGUGCUUACACAUGCAAGUCGAACGGAAAGGCCUGCAGCUUGCUGCGGGUACUCGAGUGGCGAACGGGUGAGUAACACGUGGGUGAUCUGCCUUGCACUUCGGGAUAAGCUUGGGAAACUGGGUCUAAUACCGGAUAGGACAGCUGUUUAGUGUCAGUUGUGGAAAGUUUUUUCGGUGCAAGAUGAGCUCGCGGCCUAUCAGCUUGUUGGUGGGGUAAUGGCCUACCAAGGCGUCGACGGGUAGCCGGCCUGAGAGGGUGUACGGCCACAUUGGGACUGAGAUACGGCCCAGACUCCUACGGGAGGCAGCAGUGGGGAAUAUUGCACAAUGGGCGGAAGCCUGAUGCAGCGACGCCGCGUGGGGGAUGAAGGCCUUCGGGUUGUAAACUCCUUUCGACAGGGACGAAGCGUAAGUGACGGUACCUGUAUAAGAAGCACCGGCUAACUACGUGCCAGCAGCCGCGGUAAUACGUAGGGUGCGAGCGUUGUCCGGAAUUACUGGGCGUAAAGAGCUCGUAGGUGGUUUGUCGCGUCGUCUGUGAAAUUCCGGGGCUUAACUCCGGGCGUGCAGGCGAUACGGGCUGACUUGAGUGCUGUAGGGGAGACUGGAAUUCCUGGUGUAGCGGUGAAAUGCGCAGAUAUCAGGAGGAACACCGAUGGCGAAGGCAGGUCUCUGGGCAGUAACUGACGCUGAGGAGCGAAAGCAUGGGUAGCGAACAGG